GUCGCUACUACCGAUUGAAUGGCUUAGUGAGCCCUCUGGACUGUUGUAAUUCGUUGGCAACUUCGAGUCACAUACGGGAAGGAGGUCAAACUUGAUCAUUUAGAGGAAGUAA
rnacentral:rRNA from 1 species